AUGCAAUUGCAUGUCCUUGUU
rnacentral:miRNA from 1 species